rnacentral:rRNA from 1 species
ACCCCAGUAUUUAUUAGAUUUUAAACCAGCAUUCCGCAAGGUCUACUGAGAUGAUUCAUGAUAACUGAUCGAAUUGCUGGGUCUACCAGCAAUAAAUCAUUCAUGUUUCUGCUUCCCAUCAGCUUGAUGGUAGUGUAUUGGACAACCAUGGCAUUCACGGGCUAUCGGGGGAUUAGGGUUCGAUUCCGGAGAGGGAGCCUGAGAAACGGCUACCACUUCUACGGAAGGCAGCAGGCGCGAAAAUUACCCAAUCCUGAUUCAGGGAGGUAGUGAAAGAAAUAAUGAACUAGGAUUUAUCCUGGGAUCACAAUGGGCAAAAUUUGCAAACUUUAUUAGCGAGGAACGAUUGGAGGGCAAGUCUGGUGCCAGCAGCCGCGGUAAUUCCAGCUCCAAUAGUGUAUAUUAAUGUUCCUGCAGUUAUUCGAUGCUCGUAGUUGGAUUUCUGGAGGCUGACUCUGGCGCGCGGCUAAGGCCGCAGCCGGUUUCUUCCUUCAUCCACCUGUUAACGUUGUUUGGGAUUCAUUUCUCGGCUUCGGGCUCAGGUAUUUUACCCUUACUAUAUUCAUUUAUUUAUCUUCUUUUUGAGCAAAUUAUAGUGUUUCAGGCAGGCGUGCGCCGGAAUACUUUAGCAUGGAAUAAUCGAAUUGGACUGUGUUCCUUAUUUGUUGGUUUGAUGGGCACAGAAUGGUUAAUAGGGAUAGUAAUUUUCAGGGGAGGCAUUAGUAUUUAAUUUCCAGAGGUGAAAUUCUUUGAAAUAUUAAAGACUAACUUAUGCGAAAGCAUUUAUUUUGCCAAUAAUGUUUUCAUUAAUCAUUGAACGAAAGUUAGGGGAUCAAAGACGAUCAGAUACCGUCCUAGUCUUAACCAUAAACGUUGCCGACUAGGGAUCGGAGGGCGUGCACAUUCCGCCUUCGGCACCUUACGAGAAAUCAAAGUCUUUUGGGUUCUGGGGGUAGUAUGGUCGCAAGACUGAAACUUAAAGGAAUUGACGGAAGGGCACCACAAGGUGUGGAGCCUGCGGCUUAAUUUGACUCAACACGGGGAAACUUACCAGGUCCAGACAUAGGAAGGAUUGACAGAUUGGAGAUCUUUCUUGAUUCCAUGGAUGGUGGUGCA